rnacentral:rRNA from 1 species
AUAGCUUCCCGAAAGGGAAGGUAAUUCCAAAUGGUCCCAUAUUCUGUAAUGUUUAAGGGUAAAGCUUUUGCGGUUAGAGAGGAGCCUGCGUCCUAUCAGCUUGUUGGUGAGGUAAUGGCUCACCAAGGCAAUGACGGGUAGCUGGUCUGAGAGGAUGGUCAGCCACACUGGCACUGAAAUACGGGCCAGACUCCUACGGGAGGCAGCAAUUAGGAAUCUUGCGCAAUGGGGGAAACCCUGACGCAGCGACAUCGCGUGAAGGAAGAAGGCCUUCGGGUUGUAAACUUCUUUUUUGUGGGAACAAUAAAUGAGCGUACCACAAGAAUAAGCACCUGCUAACUACGUGCCAGAAGCAUCGGUGAUACGUAGGGUGCAAGCGUUAUCCGGAAUUAUUGGGCGUAAAGAGAUGCGUAGGUGGUUUAGUAAGUCCUUUGUCAAAUACCACGGCUUAACUGUGGAAAGGCAGGGGAAACUACUAGAAUAGAGAUAGCGAGAGGUAGAUGGAAUUCCUGGUGGAGCGGUAAAAUGCGUUGAUAUCAGGAGGAACACCAAGGGCGAAGGCAGUCUACUGGUCCUAUUCUGACGCUAAGGCUCGAAAGCGUGGGUAGCAAAACGGAUUAGAUACCCGUGUAGUCCACGCUGUAAACGAUGGAUAUUAGAUGUUUGGUUCAGUGUUUAGCUUCGGCUAUGUACUGGAUUGAGUGUCACAGCUAACGCAAUAAAUAUCCCGCCUGGGGAGUACGGCCGCAAGGCUAAAACUCAAAGGAAUUGACGGGGACCCGCACAAGCGGUGGAGCGUGUGGUUUAAUCCGAUGAUAAGCGUAGUACCUCACCAAGGUUUGAAAUGUAUCUGCAAGCUUUCCGAAAGGAUCGCCGCCUUCGAGGGUGAUACACAGGUGCUGCAUGGCUGUCGUCAGCUCGUGUCGUGAGAUGUUGGGUUAAGUCCCGCAACGAGCGCAACCCCUACCCAGUGUUACUAUGUCUCUGGGGACUGCCCUGCUAAAACGGGGAGGAAGGUGGGGAUGACGUCCAGUCGUCAUAGCCCUUAUGUCUUGGGCAACACACGCGCUACAAUGGCCGGUAUAGAGGGUAGCCAAGCGGCAACGCGGAGCCAAUCCCAAAAAACCGGUCUCAGUUCGGAUUGUGGGCUGAAACUCGCCCACAUGAAGUUGGAAUCGCUAGUAAACGCAGGUCAGCAUACUGCGUUGAAUACGUUCUCGGGUCUUGUACACACCGCCUGUCAGUUGCUGGAAGUCGAGGGUACCCGAAGUCCCAUGUAUUUGGGCCGAAGGUAAAUUCGGUAACUGGUAAUAAGUCAAAACAAGGUA